GUUAUCAAUUUACCCUCAACGAGGUCAGCCGCCCCAGCUGCAAGCGGGACAGCGAGUAACUGACAAGUCAGUGGUAAACAAAAAAAAAAAAGGAUAGCGACGACGAAGAAAGAUAUCGAGAUUAAAAAAGUGGUUUGAGAUAGUCAUUAAAGCGAAAUUAAAUUGAAACUCUAAUAGCUAGAAGUACGGUUUAGGAUUGUUUUAAGGUUGCUUAUAUAUUGCUUUACAUUAGUACGGAGUGGAUUAACAGCUAAAAGUACGGUGCUGAAUUCUUAUAAUUAAUAGUACGGUUGAGUUUAUUAAAGGCUAGAGGACUGUUACAGCUAGUUCGUGCUAUUGAAGCAUCGCAGAUAACCGAGCUCAUGAUAAGGGUUAGACGACCGUACGAGACCAUUUCCCGGAAGUGACGGAAAUAAGUGAAAAUACUAAAC